GAUGAACGCUGGCGGCGUGCCUAAUACAUGCAAGUCGAGCGAACAGACGAGGAGCUUGCUCCUCUGACGUUAGCGGCGGACGGGUGAGUAACACGUGGAUAACCUACCUAUAAGACUGGGAUAACUUCGGGAAACCGGAGCUAAUACCGGAUAACAUGUUGAACCGCAUGGUUCAACAGUGAAAGACGGUCUUGCUGUCACUUAUAGAUGGAUCCGCGCCGCAUUAGGUAGUUGGUAAGGUAACGGCUUACCAAGGCAACGAUGCGUAGCCGACCUGAGAGGGUGAUCGGCCACACUGGAACUGAGACACGGUCCAGACUCCUACGGGAGGCAGCAGUAGGGAAUCUUCCGCAAUGGGCGAAAGCCUGACGGAGCAACGCCGCGUGAGUGAAGAAGGUCUUCGGAUCGUAAAACUCUGUUAUUAGGGAAGAACAAAUGUGUAAGUAACUAUGCACGUCUUGACGGUACCUAAUCAGAAAGCCACGGCUAACUACGUG
rnacentral:rRNA from 1 species